CUAAAACCUAUACAUACAAAUAUAUAAUAACCUGCAAAAAGAGAAUAGCCACGGACUAAAAAAUACUCCGCAACUAUUAAAACAAAUAUGCAUAAGUUUUUGUCAAAAUCGAAAACGUUAUAUCAACACUGUAAAACCAGCCCUCUGCUAUAUCUUUAUUUCGCUGUCAAACGCUGUUGAUUUGCUUGCCAAGACAGAACAGGAAUUGAAGCCCAUAUUCUGUCACUGACAGCUCCCGCCUGUCAAAUCAUUGUUGUGCCUGCUACGUUACCAACUUCGUAAGAGGCGGUCUGAGCUGUAAACAAAUAACAGUUAAACCCUUCACAGCGUUUAUCAAACUGCGUUCAAAUGUGCAUUUUUACACAAGUAUUAUUUUGAACAGGUAUGCUUAAUUUAACAUUGUUUUUUUCCUAAUUUUGUGACCGGUUUAACCCGUGUUAUUUUCUUUUUUUGAUAAAAACUCUUUUGAAUAACAUGCGUUUAGACAUAUAUUUUUUCACAACUUUUUUCAUUGCAGCUACCCAAGCCAAAACGAUACAGGAACGUCACAAAAUGUAUUCUGAGUAGCUAUACCGAAAAUACCGCGAUUGAAUUUGUGACGUAACAUUAACGAGGUUCAAAUCCACCGCAAUUGGCCACAGAUUUCAAUCAUAUACGUCACAGUGAUCACAACACGUCACAAAAACGUCGCGAUUUCGGCCAAUAGGUCAAUAAUUGACCUGUCGCAAACUCAAUUCUGCUGCAGUUUGGAAGGUAAACUAAUUAUUUUGAUUAACUUAUUUUGCUAUUAAUCGGUUUUAUUUUUGCGAAUUUUCGGUUUGAUUUCCGGCUUAUUAAGCUUAGGGUUUGUGACAGCAACCUGAGCUUGGAGCUGCCUUUACUAUUUUGAAACGUUACAUUGGAAAACAAAUUAACCAUCGAAAAGCAGAUAUAUGCGCGAUAGGUGCCUGCCAUUUUACGAUUUCACGCCAGCGAGAACGAAAACAAUGUAAAAGUUCCUUGAUCGAGUUAAAACCACAAGAAAAUCUUAUCUGCUGGUCGGGUAUCGCAAUAUUAGAUACCUUUGUCGUGUAAAGCAAAGCUUGCCCUUACCGCAUGCUAUCCGCGAAAGAGUAUCUCAACCCUGUCGCUAGCUGGGUUAAUUAAGCAGAUAAGGCGAAUGCUGAAUGCGGAGCAACAGCAUAACCUUUCUGCAGCCUUUGCAACAAGGUGGUGCAGCUUGGCCCGCCUUAUACCAAGUUCAUUAUAAACGUCGGGCGCGUGAGGGCCGAGCUUUUAAUGGGUAUCUUGUGUCGCUGUCGGAUUAGUGUGGCGAAGAUUGGCCGUGAUAAAAACACGCCGACCUAAGCAGCACCUACGCUGGUAUAAAGUUUUUGCAUGCCGAUUGCCGGCACCGUGUUUCUGAACGAAAAGUCAUUUUCCCUUCACCCCUUGAAGGAUUGGCUUUGCAUGCCAUUAGAUAUAUAAAAAAAUAGGAAAUUGUAUUUUUUCCGGAUUCGUUGAACAAUAUUGACCAAUAUUCUCAGCAGGGUAUAUUGAUAACGAAAUUACUUGGCAAUCCCAUUUUGAAACACUUUGUCGACGAAAAUGCGCCUUGCUAGCUAUAAUCGAUACCGAAAGCUGUUUCGUUGCCGUUACUUUACACUUGGAGUGGCCGACUUGAUUUAAAUCGAGUUUACAUUUAAAAGCAUGUUUGGCCUUGACCUCCAAAGAGACAAGGACCCAGUCGCCAUUUCGUUCCCAGUCUCUUCAAAAUGUCCGCUUAUUCAACGCACGCAUUUAACACUUAAGUAUUAAAUUGUAAUUGCUCAUAAAUUACAGUCUAUAACAAACAAAAUAUUUGAAACAAUUUUCAUUGGACUUUCCUUCGCUUGGGAAAUCCCAUUCUUACAUUGUCUUACAUCAGCAGGUGUGACUCAAAAACAAUUAGGUCGAAUCUCGAUAAUUGACUGGCCGGGCGACGACGAUCUGUUUGUCACUUUCCCUAUUGUCACACCGAUCGGUGCCGUGUUUAUUUAUGAUUGAUUGCAAACCGUGACAAGAGCGAGUGAAGAUAGGGUCACUGUUAACAGGAUUAGGCUCGCGCAAAAAUUAUUGCUUCAAAGCAUCCAAG